CGAACGGUGAAGCCCUUCGGGGUGGAUCAGUGGCGAACGGGUGAGUAACACGUGAGCAACCUGCCCUUCACUCUGGGAUAACUAUCGGAAACGGUGGCUAAUACCGGAUAUGACGCAUCCAGGCAUCUGGUGUGUGUGGAAAGUUUUUCGGUGGGGGAUGGGCUCGCGGCCUAUCAGCUUGUUGGUGGGGUGAUGGCCUACCAAGGCGACGACGGGUAGCCGGCCUGAGAGGGCGACCGGCCACACUGGGACUGAGACACGGCCCAGACUCCUACGGGAGGCAGCAGUGGGGAAUAUUGCGCAGUGGGCGGAAGCCUGACGCAGCGACGCCGCGUGGGGGAUGAAGGCCUUCGGGUUGUAAACCUCUUUCAGCAGGGAAGAAGCGGAAGUGACGGUACCUGCAGAAGAAGCACCGGCUAACUACGUGCCAGCAGCCGCGGUAAUACGUAGGGCGCAAGCGUUGUCCGGAAUUAUUGGGCGUAAAGAGCUCGUAGGCGGUCUGUCGCGUCUGCUGUGAAAACUCGGGGCUUAACUCCGGGCCUGCAGUGGGUACGGGCAGACUAGAGUGCGGUAGGGGAGACUGGAAUUCCUGGUGUAGCGGUGAAAUGCGCAGAUAUCAGGAGGAACACCGGUGGCGAAGGCGGGUCUCUGGGCCGUAACUGACGCUGAGGAGCGAAAGCGUGGGGAGCGAACAGGAUUAGAUACCCUGGUAGUCCACGCCGUAAACGUUGGGCGCUAGGUGUGGGGCUCUUUCCACGAGUUCCGUGCCGCAGCAAACGCAUUAAGCGCCCCGCCUGGGGAGUACGGCCGCAAGGCUAAAACUCAAAGGAAUUGACGGGGGCCCGCACAAGCGGCGGAGCAUGCGGAUUAAUUCGAUGCAACGCGAAGAACCUUACCAAGGCUUGACAUGGGCGGUAAUCCGGCAGAGAUGUCGGGUCCGUAAGGGCCGUUCACAGGUGGUGCAUGGUUGUCGUCAGCUCGUGUCGUGAAUGUUGGGUUAAGUCCCGCAACGAGCGCAACCCUCGUUCCAUGUUGCCAGCACGUUAUGGUGGGGACUCAUGGGAGACUGCCGGGGUCAACUCGGAGGAAGGUGGGGAUGACGUCAAAUCAUCAUGCCCCUUAUGUCUUGGGCUUCACGCAUGCUACAAUGGCCAGUACAAAGGGCUGCGAGACCGUGAGGUGGAGCGAAUCCCAAAAAGCUGGUCUCAGUUCGGAUCGGGGUCUGCAACUCGACCCCGUGAAGUCGGAGUCGCUAGUAAUCGCAGAUCAGCAACGCUGCGGUGAAUACGUUCCCGGAUC
rnacentral:rRNA from 1 species